rnacentral:rRNA from 1 species
UUAAACGGCCGCGGUAUCCUAACCGUGCAAAGGUAGCGUAAUCACUUGUCUUAUAAAUAAAGACCCGUAUGAAUGGCUAAAUGAGUAUUUAACUGUCUCCUUUAACUAAUCAGUGAAACUGAUCUCUCAGUACAAAAGCUGAAAUAAAAACAUAAGACGAGAAGACCCUGUGGAGCUUUAAAUUUUAACAAAGUAUUAAAACAUAUUAAUGGUAAAAAAUUUUUAGKUGGGGCGACUUUGGAGCAAAGUAUAACCUCCAAGAAAAGGUACCACCUAAACCAGGCUGACCGGCYAAACAUCUAGRCCCAGUAUUUUAUACUGAUUAAWGAAGCGAGUUACCCCAGGGAUAUYAGCGCCAUCUUCUUCAAGAGWUNCCAUCGACAAGAAGGUUU